CCCGGCGUCAGACAACACAUCACCGGAAGAACAGACUUCUGAAUAGGCGAAUAAUACUGUAGUACAGGCAAUUCACUCUAGGGGAAAAUACAGAUUAUGAUGCUCCAUUAUCCGAGGCUGGAGAUUACACCACCAAGUAUCAGCUCUUGAGUAAUUUAUUCAGCCAGUUUCACAAUGAGAAGCUUCCUGAGGCUCCCUCCCUCCAGGCCAGGAGAGUGUAUGAGCCUGUCAUCAUUCAGAAGCAUCUGUCACUGUGGGAGCCUGCAUUUUACUGACAAGGUAAACUAGGGGUCAAGUAGCAUACUGUCUGUUGUGACCUGGCCUGCUUGGCAAGUUGGCAAUACUCAAGGGUUAAUGUUGAUAUUUAAUUGAAUGCACCACAUUGACAUUGUUUCAUCAUCAAGCCCUUGAAGUCAGAGGGGCCUGUCAACAUGGAGAACAAUAACAAUGGUCAUUCCUAUGGCUACACUCAAUAUGAGACCACCAUCAGCAGCAGAGGCCUUCUGAACUCCAAGACAAAUUUUAGAGACUGAGCCCUGGUGAUUACAGACAGACACAGUGACAUGGCAUGAAUUUACUACAGUAAAAGGUCCACACUGUAUGACAAUACAUAAUUUGUACUAAUAAAGUUGUCUUCUAGGUGUUUGUAGACAGACACUUUGUUGGAGUUUUGGACUAUAAGAUCGUGGAGAUUACACUUCCUGAUGGGAAAGGUAUAGUGAUACUUUGUGUUUAGAUUCAGGCUAUAGGUGUGCUGCUGAGCUGCUUUCAAAACUGGAUAGUUAAUAUUCAACACCAUGUUAGAGGUGAAAGCUUCUGGUGGUGCUGAUAAAUGUUUUUGUCACUAAGGUGCUAGGAUUAUUCCAACAGAAAGUUUUCAGACAAAUGUUGUUCUAACAAAGAGGAAUCACAAUCACUACCCUUUCUCCCGUCUGUUAAUGGAAAACAAGUCCAUGCUGCUUAACCUAUAGCACAGCGGAAGAUUGGACAUGAUUGUCACUUUCUGACCAUAGUUCUGUUAUUUUAUUCUUUGUUUUAGUAUGGUCAGGGCGUGAGUUAGAGUGGGCAGUCUGUUUGUCUUUCUAUGUUGGUUUUUGUGUUCAGCCUAGUAUGGUUCUCAAUCAGAGGCAGGUGUCGUUAGUUGUCUCUGAUUGAGAAUCAUACUUAGCUAGCCUGGGUUUCACUGUUGGUUUGUGGGUGUUUGUUUCCGUAUGAGUGUUUGUUGCCACACAGUACUGUUUCGGUCAUGUUCACAUUUAUUGUUUUGUAUUUUAUAAGUGUUCAGUUUAUGUAUUAAAGUAAUCAUCAUGAACACUUACCACGUCGCAUCUUGGUCCGAUCCUUACUCCUCUUCAGACAAAGAGGAAAUCUGCCGUUACAAUGAUCAAUUACUCUCUGCAGUCUGACUGAAAGCCAUGUUUCCUCUAUGCCUCUGUGUCCUAUGCAUUGUUGACUGCAGUGCUUCAAUUAGUGGUUUCAACAUGUUUUGUGUAUUUUCCAUUGAAGGGAGAGAGAACAUUGAGUUUACUUAUGGAGAACUGUGGAAGAGUGAAUUAUGGGAAAGCCCUGGAUGAUCAGUGGAAAGUUAUUCUAUUCUUAGUUGCUACCACUUUAACAAUCAGAAUUCCAUGGCAGAAAGCAUACAUUGAAGGUACUGUAGACCUUUGUGUGUAAUCCUUUAUUGCUGUGACAUCAGUUUAUAGUCGUUAAAGUGGAUAGACCUGAAUGCCCAACAAGUAGCGACAGUAUCCAUGAGGUCUUGGAAUAAUUGUAUUGUAUUGAUACUCGCCCAUUCAGCUCUUAAUCUUUAGUCACAUAUCACCCUGUUCUUGGUCUGGUGGGAGACAUUGUAUUGAACCACGUGCCUCUAAAGGGCUUUACAAUCUACUGUUUGGAUCUGAAGCCAAACGUCCUAAAGAGGGUUGUCCUGAUCAUUUCAUUUAUACAACAACUUCCAUUCUGGCUCUUACAGUUUGUCAUCUGUUAUCAAUGCAAGUGUAACUGGCAUACCAGGUUGUCUUAAAGGCGCAGUGCAUUCAUAAACAUGAUAUUCAUAUGUUAUAUAUAUAUUUACACACUGAGGUUGGAAUAAUACUGCGAAAUUGUGAAAAUGAACAUAAUGCCCUUUUAGUGUACGAGCUGUCUGAAAAUACCUCCUGAAAUUUCUGCCUGUUUUGGUGGAAUGGAGUUUUGACAGGCAAUCUCAACGAUGUGCGUUUACAGGGAAGACAUCCUCCUCCCUCAUGUGGUACCCUUCCUGCAGGCUCAUCCUGACAUGACCCUCCAGCAUGACAAUGCCACCAGCCAUACUGCUCGUUCUGUGCGUGAUUUCCUGCAAGACAGGAAUGUCAGUGUUCUGCCAUGGCCAGCGAAGAGCCCGGAUCUGAAUCCCAUUGAGCAUGUCUGGGACCUGUUGGAUCGGAGGGUGAGGGCUAAAGCCAUUCCCCCUAGAAAUGUCUGGGAACUUGCAGGUGCCUUGGUGGAAGAGUGGGGUAACAUCUCACAGCAAGAACGGGCAAAUCUGGUGCAGUCCACGACGAGGAGAUGCACUUCAGUACUUAAUGCAGCUGGUGGCCACACCAGAUACUGACUGUUACUUUUGAUUUUUACCCCCCUUUGUUCAGGGACACAUUAUUCCAUUUAUGUUAGUCACAUGUCUGUGGAACUUGUUCAGUUUAUGUCUCUUGUUGAAUCUUGUUAUGUUCAUACAAAAAUGUACACAUGUUAAGUUUAAUGAAA